UUCUCUAUCUAGUCACAAGUAAAUAAUUUAUUGCCUUUUCCCUGUUGUUUUGAAAUUCACUAUUUAAUUCACUCUUUUUUUUUUAAUAGAUGAAUUAAUUAUAACAUUUCAAAACUAAGUUGCACUUCUAGGUAAUUUUUAAGAAAAGCACCAUUAUCCCCUCUCCUGGCUGGAGGCAGUUUUGUGCCACUGAAGAGCAUGGAAAGAGCUCCUGAGGCCUUCAUGUCACACAAGGUGUGUUGGAUCCCACCCAGGCAUCUCAGUUAGAGCUGAUCCCAAAAUGGGAUGUGGACCCCAAAAUCCUGGAGAAAGCUGCUCCUCUCUGAGCUGACAGAGGGGCCAAGCUGAGCACAGCAGAGACAGCUCAUCUGUGUCACCUCCUCUUUGUCACCGUGGGGAAUGAUGAAUUUGCGGCCUCCACAGGGACAGGAGCCUAUUUCAGCUCUGGCUUCCUUUGUUCCCUGUUUAAACUCCUCUCCCUCUCUCAUUCAUCCCUGACAAGUGCAAUGUUUAGGAGUCAGAGGCUUGUGCAGCUCUGCAGCAGAACUCAGAACAGCUUGAAUUUGACAGAUCAGAUUUGUGUGAAGCCAUAA
rnacentral:lncRNA from 1 species